rnacentral:misc_RNA from 1 species
AACAUCGCGCACCUGCGGGAACCUGCGGAAGGAUCAUUACAGAGUUGCAAAACUCCCUAAACCAUUGUGAACGUUACCUAAACCGUUGCUUCGGCGGGCGGCCCGGGUCCUUCCCGGCGCCCAUCGGCCCUCGCGGGCGCCCGCCGGAGGUAAACCAAACUAUUGCAUUGUAUGGCCUCUCUGAGUCUUCUGUACUGAAUAAGUCAAAACUUUUAACAAUGGAUCUCAGAUCGGAAGAGC